rnacentral:lncRNA from 1 species
AAACCCUGACAAACUUUUACAGAUGCACAAUUGAGAGCAUCCUGUCGGGCUUUAUCACCACCUGGUAUGGCAACUGCACCGCCCUCAACCGCAAGGCUCACCAGGGGGUGGUGCGGUCUGCACAACGCAUCACUGGGGGCAAACUACCUGGCCUCCAGGACACCUACAGCACCCAAUGUCACAGGAAGGCCAAAAAUAUCAUCAAGGACAACAACCACUGCCUGUUCACCGCGCUACCAUCCAGAAGAGCCAUAUACAUAGAUAGACAUCACAUUAUUGCAUCUAUGAGAACAUGGGCAAUGCUAGCCUCCAUAAAGAGUGGAAGACCAACAGCACAGACAACCGGUGUAUAACAUUACAAUUGUAUAGCUUUGUAGACUGCGGUGAAUGAAC